rnacentral:misc_RNA from 1 species
GAUGAAGAACGCAGCGAAAUGCGAUAAGUAAUGUGAAUUGCAGAAUUCAGUGAAUCAUCGAAUCUUUGAACGCACAUUGCGCCCGCCAGUAUUCUGGCGGGCAUGCCUGUUCGAGCGUCAUUUCAACCAUCAAGCCCUGCUUGCGUUGGGGUCCUGCGGCUGCCCGCAGGCCCUGAAAACCAGUGGCGGGCUCGCUAGUCACACCGAGCGCAGUAAUACAUAUCGCUUUGGGCGUGCGGCGGGUUCUUGCCGUUAAACACCCCCUUUUUACCAAGGUUGACCUCGGAUCAGGUAGGAAUACCCGCUGAACUUAAGCAUAUCAAUAAGCGGAGGA